CUCAGCGGAACCGUUGGACUCCGUAUCGUGGAUCCUUGGCCUCCCGGAUUUCAAUCUGUGAAAAAAAUGAAAAGAUAAGAGAAAGAUCUGAAUCGGAGUGGCUACACACUAGCCCCAGGCCCCGUAGCUUCUCCUGCAGACAGAGGCUCAGUGAUAUGAGUUCCUCGACUUGACGGCUCCUCUCCACUCGCGGGGGGAUGAGAGAGGACUGAAAUCACUGUGGAAUAUCACUUAGUGAGGCCAGCGCAUGUGACCAUCUCACAGGGACGAGUGGAACGCUGAGGGGUAAGACAACCGACAUAACACCAGGUUGUGUUAGCAGAGGCAGUAACACACGCACACACACAGGCUGAAGCAGGGGGUGGGGUUCUACUCUACUCGCUAACCCACCUGGACAGCAGAGGUCACUGUAAACACCAGAGGAGGCUGGUGGGAGGGACUAUAGAAG